GGCCCCAUCGUCUAGUGGUUAGGACAUCGGCUUUUCAAGCCGGCAACACCGGUUCGAACCCGGUUGGGGCUA
rnacentral:tRNA from 1 species